GUGAGUCCUUCCACGGGGUUCGUGCCGUAGCUAACGCAUUAAGCGCCCCGCCUGGGGAGUACGGCCGCAAGGCUAAAACUCAAAGGAAUUGACGGGGGCCCGCACAAGCGGCGGAGCAUGUGGAUUAAUUCGAUGCAACGCGAAGAACCUUACCUGGGCUUGACAUACACCAGAUCGGCGCAGAGAUGCGUUUUCCCUUGUGGUUGGUGUACAGGUGGUGCAUGGUUGUCGUCAGCUCGUGUCGUGAGAUGUUGGGUUAAGUCCCGCAACGAGCGCAACCCUUGUCUUAUGUUGCCAGCACGUGAUGGUGGGGACUCAUGAGAGACUGCCGGGGUUAACUCGGAGGAAGGUGGGGAUGACGUCAAAUCAUCAUGCCCCUUAUGUCCAGGGCUUCACACAUGCUACAAUGGUCGGUACAACGCGUGUGCGACACUGUGAGGUGAAGCUAAUCGCUCUAAAGCCGGUCGUAGUUCGGAUUGGGGUCUGCAACUCGACCCCAUGAAGUCGGAGUCGCUAGUAAUCGCAGAUCAGCAACGCUGCGGUGAAUACGUUCCCGGGCCUUGUACACACCGCCCGUCACGUCAUGAAAGUUGGUAACACCCGAAGCCAGUGGCCUAAACCUGUUAGGGAGCUGUCGAAGGUGGGAUCGGCGAU
rnacentral:rRNA from 1 species